CGCCUCCUGUAGAAUUAAUAUAAGAGGUACUGCCUGCCCAGUGACACCGUUUAACGGCUGCGGUAUAAUGACCGUACAAAGGUAGCAUAAUCACUUGUCUCUUAAAUGGGGACCCGUAUGAAUGGCAAAACGAAAGCCCAACUGUCUCCUCAAACUAAUCAGUGAAAUUGAUAUUUUCGUGCAAAAGCGAAAAUAAUUGUAUAAGACGAGAAGACCCUGCGGAGCUUAAAACCUAAAUUAAUAAAGUAUAUAAUCUAAAGGCUUUAGGUUGGGGCGACCACGGAGAACAGUAAAUCCUCCGAGAUAUAUAAUUUAGAAAAACACUUCAAAAUAACACUACAAUUGAUAUAAUUGACCCAAUAAUUGAUCAACGAACCAAGUUACCCCAGGGAUAACAGCGCAAUCCUCUCACAGAGUUCCUAUCGACGAGCGGGUUUACGACCUCGAUGUUGGAUCAGGACCACCAAAUGGCGCAGCAGUUAUUAAAGGUUCGUUUGUUCAACGAUUAAAGUCCU
rnacentral:rRNA from 1 species